UACGUAGGGGGCAAGCGUUGUCCGGAAUUAUUGGGCGUAAAGAGCGUGUAGGCGGCCAGAUAAGUCCGCUGUGAAAUCUCGAGGCUCAACUUCGAGCUGUCGGUGGAAACUAUCUGGCUAGAGUCCGGAAGAGGAGAAUGGAAUUCCUGGUGUAGCGGUGAAAUGACGCAGAUAUCAGGAAGAACACCCGUGGCGAAGGCGGUUCUCUGGGACGGUACUGACGCUGGAGACGCGAAAGCCGUGGGGAGCGAAACAGG
rnacentral:rRNA from 1 species